AUUCUAAAACUUUCAACAACGGAUCUCUUGGUUCUGGCAUCGAUGAAGAACGCAGCGAAAUGCGAUAAGUAAUGUGAAUUGCAGAAUUCAGUGAAUCAUCGAAUCUUUGAACGCACAUUGCGCCCCUUGGUAUUCCGAGGGGCAUGCCUGUUCGAGCG
rnacentral:rRNA from 1 species